rnacentral:rRNA from 1 species
ACAUCCAGCGAACUUGGCAGAGAUGCCUUGGUGCCUUCGGGAACGCUGAGACAGGUGCUGCAUGGCUGUCGUCAGCUCGUGUUGUGAAAUGUUGGGUUAAGUCCCGNAACGAGCGCAACCCUUAUCCUUUGUUGCCAGCGAUUCGGUCGGGAACUCAAAGGAGACUGCCGGUGAUAAACCGGAGGAAGGUGGGGAUGACGUCAAGUCAUCAUGGCCCUUACGAGUAGGGCUACACACGUGCUACAAUGGCGCAUACAAAGAGAAGCGACCUCGCGAGAGCAAGCGGACCUCAUAAAGUGCGCCGUAGUCCGGAUCGGAGUCUGCAACUCGACUCCGUGAAGUCGGAAUCGCUAGUAAUCGUGGAUCAGAAUGCCACGGUGAAUACGUUCCCGGGCCUUGUACACACCGCCCGUCACACCAUGGGAGUGGGUUGCAAAAGAAGUAGGUAGCUUAACCUUCGGGAGGGCGCUUACCACUUUGUGAUUCAUGACUGGGGUGAAGUCGUAACAAGGUAGGCGUAGCGAG